UGUCCCAGCUGUGUUCCCACCUGUUCCCCAUCCCCUCAUUAUCUCUCUGUGUACUUAAGUCCUCUGUACUCCUUUGUUCAGUGUCAGGUUGUCUGUAGUCUUUUGCGCCACGGUUCCAUGUUCCAUGUUCCAUGUUCCAUGUUCCAUGUUCCAUGUUCCAUGUUCCAUGUUCCAUGUUCCACGUAUCCACGCAUCCACGCCAAGUUUCAUGCUUUGGGUUUUUAAUGUUUAUCUUUAGUUUCCCAGUUUAGGUUACUGUUUAUUCUCGUCUUUGUUUAUCUUAUGCAUUACUUUGUAUUUCUUCAUCAGCCACAUUAAACGGCUCGCUUUUUGUUAAUACUCAAGUUUUGGUUCCACGUUCCUUUGUGCCUGCAUUUUGGGUCCACUCGUCACAAAUUCACACAGUCUGCUUCGGCACACUGUGACAGUGGGUGUGGGCUUUAUCAGUUGGGAAAACUGUAAAAGCUAUGACUUUAUAGGAAAAAGUCCAAAAUCGUUGCCCUCUGUCACAUUUUUCAAAGCUGUCUCGAGGGCCGGAUUGGAGUCUUUGGUGGGGAUGAUUCUGGCCGCCAGGCCUCAUGUUUGACCCCCUGGUGGUUGUUUACAGCUCCCAAUCCAGUAUAAAGACUCAGAGAGGAGGACGGACAGCAAAAAGAAGCAGGCAGCGAUGGACAUGUGGUCAAUGUUAGCACCACAGUGUAAAGCCAAGCAUUUAACAGGACUCACUGAACAUGGCUUGAACAUGACGGCUGGCACUACACGGACUGGUGUGCGCGAUGACGUGUGGCUAUCCUGAGUCUGAGCGACUCAGCACCUUCACUGCAGGCACAUGUGUGUACUAAUGUGUCUAAUGCUGUGGUAACUUAGGAGCAGGAUAUUGCAAAUCCCUGUAAAAUCCAGGAUAACAGAGACUCUAAAUGGGAUUCAAAUCUGGGCUUUGACUAGACCCUUUCAUAACCAUUUCUUCUUUUUGAGCCAUUCCUCGGUGGAUUUGCUGUGCUUAGGACCAUUAUCCUAUUAAAAAGGUCCACUUCCGGUCCCAUACAAGCUUUUCUGUUGAAGAAAUUGGUCAUUAUUUAUGAAUGAGCCUCCAAAUGUCACACUUCAAUUGUAAUUUUAUGGGUAUGAUGUAGAGCAUUACUUACUUUUUC